ensembl:snoRNA SNORA71 Small nucleolar RNA SNORA71
ACCUGCAUUUGCAGGGGGUUGAGGUCUCACCCAGUUGUUGAUAGUGCAGGGAGAGGAGCUCCGAAAGCCUUUCCCGUGUUUGAUGGGCUCCAUCCCGUCGCUCCCAAACCCUGUAGCCUUCAGACA